AUUGAACGCUGGCGGCAGGCCUAACACAUGCAAGUCGAGCGGAGCGGCGGACGGGCGAGUAAUUAAUAGGAAUCUGCCUGGCAGUGGGGGAUAACGUCCGGAAAGGGGCGCUAACACCGCAUACUAUCAGUCGAGCCUAGGUCGGAUUAGCUAGUUGGUGGGGUAGAGGCCUACCAAGGCGAAGAACCGUAACUGGUCUGAGAGGAUGAUCAGUCACACUGGAACUGAGACACGGUCCAGACUCCUACGGGAGGCAGCAGUGGGGAAUAUUGGACAAUGGGCGAAAGCCUGAUCCAGCCAUGCCGCGUGUGUGAAGAAGGUCUUCGGAUUGUAAAGCACUUUAAGUUGGGAGGCGUUACCAACAGAAUAAGCACCGGCUAACUCCGUGCCAGCAGCCGCGGUAAUAC
rnacentral:rRNA from 1 species